rnacentral:rRNA from 1 species
AGAUUGAACGCUGGCGGCAUGCCUAACACAUGCAAGUCGAACGGGAGUAGCAAUACUCUAGUGGCGGACGGGUGAGGAAUACGUAGGAAUUUGCCCUUAAGUGGGGGAUAACCCGGGGAAACCCGGAUUAAUACCGCAUGACCUCGAAAGAGCAAAGUGGGGGAUCGCAAGACCUCACGCUUUUGGAGAAGCCUACGUCGGAUUAGCUAGUUGGUGAGGUAAUGGCUCACCAAGGCGACGAUCCGUAACUGGUCUGAGAGGAUGAUCAGUCACACCGGAACUGAGACACGGUCCGGACUCCUACGGGAGGCAGCAGUGGGGAAUAUUGGACAAUGGGCGCAAGCCUGAUCCAGCAAUGCCGCGUGUGUGAAGAAGGCCUCGGUUGUAA